rnacentral:lncRNA from 1 species
GCCAUCCGUUCGUUUGUCACGUGUCCCUAGCAUAAAGAACGUUGAACUUCUCCAUCCGUUUCGCUUGACCGAUAGUAGCCAUAGACCCGGGAAAUAUCACCUAAUAUUUUGCCGAUCCGUCUAUGACGGAUGAUACUGCGUUAGUGCAUGCCUAGGCCUGCAUAUUGCCAUGUCAUGGAUCAUGUUGCAUCUAUUGCUGUUAUUUAUUGUUUCUUUCCCCAUCUUCUUACCGGUAGACCCCGAAACUAAUACUGUUGCCGGGUACGACUACCCUCCUGACGACCAGCCCUUUGCUGCGGAGCAACAAAGCAAACAAACC